GUAAACACCGGCAAUGUGGGAGACGGCAGCUUUGACGACAACAGCCGAAACAACCAAUUCUGGUCAGUGGACUCCGGUAGCGUACACACUGGCAAUGUGGGCGACGGCAGCUUUGACGACAACAGCCAAAACAACCAAUUCUGGUCAGUGAACUCCGGUAGUGUAAACACCGGCAACGUGGGAGAUGGCAGCUUUGACGACAACAGCCAAAACAACCAAUUCUGGUCAGUGGAAUCCGGUAGCGUAAACACCGGCAACGUGGGAGACGGCAGCUUUGACGACAACAGC